AUUGAACGCUGGCGGCAGGCCUAACACAUGCAAGUCGGGCGAGUGGCGGACGGGUGAGUAAUGUAUGGGGAACUGCCCGAUGGAGGGGGAUAACUACUGGAAACGGUAGCUAAUACCGCAUACCAUCAGAUGUGCCCAUAUGGGAUUAGCUUGUAGGUGGGGUAACGGCUCACCUAGGCGACGAUCCCUAGCUGGUCUGAGAGGAUGACCAGCCACACUGGGACUGAGACACGGUCCAGACUCCGACGGGAGGCAGCAGUGGGGAAUAUUGCACAAUGGGCGCAAGCCUGAUGCAGCCAUGCCGCGUGUAUGAAGAAGGCCUUCGGGUUGUAAAGUACUUUCAGUGGGGAGGCGUUACCCGCAGAAGAAGCACCGGCUAACUCCGUGCCAGCAGCCGCGGUAAUUC
rnacentral:rRNA from 1 species